rnacentral:lncRNA from 1 species
UUGAAUCGUGGGUCUGAUGUUUUGUGAGUUAGUUGUAUUUUGAGUAUCUAUACAUGAGAGUCUAAAUGUUCAGUGUAUAGAUACAUGAUUCAUGAAUUUGUUUGGAUUAUUAACAUGUUACUAAAAUUGAUAAAGUGAGUGUAGUAAUUAGAAGUUAGAAAAUUCAAUAUUUUUGCAAACCCAAUAUAUCUUGUCGUGGGAUGGGGAUUAUUCGCAGUGUUGGGAGCAUUUCAUCCGAAGACACUCCAACGUUCUAUUUGUGAAACUUAACCUAAUUAUACAACAAAAAUGCGCGUGGGAACAUUAGAGAAAAAAAACACAUCACAAGCAUACAAGAGAAACAUAUACCAUACUACAUAUACCAUGAUUUUACACCCAACAUUUGCAUGAUUUUGUUAUAAAACUAAGUGUCAGAGAAAUAAUAUUAUGCCUAGCUUGAAAAUUGACUUUAUUUUACAAUAAUAAAACUACCGACUUAAUAUUAAUUAUCAAAUAUUUUUUGACUUAAACGCCAUAGUCACAUGUACAACAAUUCAAACGACACACUUCAAUUCCACCAACACCACAUUGAGAAAAUGAGCAUUCAAUUCCACCAACACCACAUUGAGAAAAUGAGCAGUCAUGGUCAAAGUUGCACACGAGGCUUAUUAAACAACCGUAACUUACGAGAAAUUGGGAAAAGAAAAGAAUAAUACCUGUAAUAAAUAAGAGAAUUUUAAACAUUUCCUCCUACUUUGUAUAUAAGAAAUAAAAAAUUGUUGAUCACUUUUUACAGUAAAAUUCCAUUCUUUAUGUACUACAGUUAAAUAGUUUUUAGCUUUAAUGGAGUAAUCAAGAAACUUUCCUAAAACUAUAAUCAUCA